UACGUAGGGUCCGAGCGUUUGUCCGGAUUUAUUGGGCGUAAAGAGCUCGUAGGCGGCUUAGCAAGUCGGAAGUUAAAACAUCAGGCUCAACCUGGUGACGCUUUCGAUACUGCUAUGGCUUGAGUCUGGUAGGGGACCAUGGAAUUCCUGGUGUAGCGGUGAAAUGCACAGAUAUCAGGAGGAACACCGGUGGCGAAGGCGGGUCUCUGGACAGUUCCUGACGCUGAGGCACGAAGGUCAGGGGGAGCAAACGGG
rnacentral:rRNA from 1 species